UACGUAGGGGGCAAGCGUUGUCCGGAAUCAUUGGGCGUAAAGCGCGUGUAGGCGGUUCGGUAAGUCUGCUGUGAAAGUCCAGGGCUCAACCCUGGGAUGCCGGUGGAUACUGUCGGGCUAGAGUACGGAAGAGGCGAGUGGAAUUCCUGGUGUAGCGGUGAAAUGCGCAGAUAUCAGGAGGAACACCCAUUGCGAAGGCAGCUCGCUGGGACGUUACUGACGCUGAGACGCGAAAGCGUGGGGAGCAAACAGG
rnacentral:rRNA from 1 species